GAGUUUGAUCCUAGCUCAGGGUGAACGCUGGAAAUGUGGAUACCGGCAUGCAAGUCAAGGGGCCUGCGCAUCACGGUGCGUGUGAUGCGACAAUUGACCUUUAACCGUUGACAAUUGACCAACGUCGCGAUUUUUUGCUCUGCAAAAAUCGCGAAAGUCAAAUGUUAAAUGUUAAUGGUCAAAUGUUGCGCAUCGCGCUUAGCGUGAUGCGUUGGCACCGGCGAACGGCUUAGUAACACGUAGAUACAUACCGUAAAGUGGGGCAUAGCUCGUCGAAAGACGGGGUAAUUUCCCAUAGUACCAAUCCAAAACUUAGGAAGUUUUGGCAAAUCCUAAAUCCCAAAUCCUAAAUCCUAAAUAACUACGAAAUCCUAAAUUCUAAAUCCUAAACUCUAAAACGAAGGCCGUUUAGAAUUUAGAGAUUAGAAUUUAAAGUUUCGCGAACAUUUAGAAUUUAGAAUUUAGAGUUUAGAGUUUUCCGAUCCAAAAUUUCUUGAGUUUUGGAUUGGUUAAAGGCGCAAGCCGCUUUAUGAAUGGUCUGCGGUCUAUCAGCUAGUUGGUGGGGUAAAGGCCUACCAAGGCUAUGACGGAUAGGGGGCGUGAGAGCGCGACCCCCAAGAAUGGCACUGCGAUCAAUCGGUCGCCUAGAGAAGUAAUUUUCUAGUAAAAUCUAGCUAUAACGGUGGAACCCAGGCCAUUGCUGCUGCAAUGGAAUUUUCAAUUUCCAAUUUUAAAUUUUCAAUCAAUUUUCAAUGAUUAAAUUUUUAAAACACGAAUUGAUGAUUGCAUUGUGGCAGUAAUGAGGGCAAUACCGUGGGAAGUCUAUAGUAAUUCAAAAAAGGAGGGUAACGUGAAAAUUCGGUUAACGGCACAAUGGUUUCGCAUUAGCCAUGAUGGGCUAGGCGAUGCUACGUGGAAGGAUCCAUCAGGUGAUCCAAAAACGAUUGUGAUUGACACGGAAGUCGAUCGCAGAUAUGAUGGUGCAAAAACCGUCGAAGAUGUCAAGACGACAUUUCUCCAACAAUCGCAUACUCCCGAUCCUAUGCACAAUGUGGUGCUUGAAGUGACGGAGUGUGUGGAGUUUUAAUCAACUCACGGAAUAUUCGCAGAAAUCGGUAAGCCGAUUUCUGCGAUACUUUAAUUUUGAUUUUUGAAUUUUACAUUUUGAAUUAUUUAUGACCCCGUAACGACUUAGAGAGAAAUCUCUGGAUGGAGGGGCGUAAUCCUCCAUAACACGCUAGCGCCAAGUAUUUUUUCUAAAAUAUUUGGAUGAAGGUAUAGUCUGCACCUUUAGUGAUAAAGGUAUUCGUAAUCGCGUCGUAGGUUUCUGCGUAGUUUAGCGUGAAAUUCUGCGUAAUUCCGCGAUAUUUUACGAAGUAAAAAUGUGACGGGCCAUACUCCUACGGGAGGCUGCAGUCGAGAAUCUUCCGCAAUGGGCGAAAGCCUGACGGAGCGACAUUUCGUGAUGGAUGAAGGCCUUCGGGUUGUAAACAUCUUUUAUCUGGGAGCAACUUAAUGAGAGUACCAGAUGAAUAAGGGGAUACUAAUUCUGUGAGGUUUGCGCAACAAUUUGUUGCUAAAAAACCUUGGCGCAGAAGUAAAAUUCGGCUAAUAUGCUGGAAAACUUUUCGUUGUCC
rfam:Candidatus Staskawiczbacteria bacterium RIFCSPHIGHO2_02_FTLL_42_22 rifcsphigho2_02_scaffold_4169, whole genome shotgun sequence.